rnacentral:snRNA from 1 species
GUACUUGCUUUGGCAGCACAUACACUAAAAUUGGAAUGAUACAGAGAAGAUUAGCAUGACCCCUGCACAAGGAUGACAUGCAAAUUCAUGAAGCAUUGCAUAUUUUU